rnacentral:rRNA from 1 species
UACGUAGGGGGCAAGCGUUGUCCGGAUUUAUUGGGCGUAAAGAGCGUGUAGGCGGCUAGAUAGGUCCGUUGUGAAAACUAGAGGCUUAACCUCUAGACGUCGAUGGAAACUGUUUGGCUAGAGUCCGGAAGAGGAGAAUGGAAUUCCUGGUGUAGCGGUGAAAUGCGCAGAUAUCAGGAAGAACACCCGUGGCUAAGGCGGUUCUCUAGUACGGUACUGACGCUGAGACGCGAAAGCGUGGGGAGCGAACAGG